rnacentral:rRNA from 1 species
GACGAACGCUGGCGGCGUGCUUAACACAUGCAAGUCGAACGAUGAAGCCGGAGCUUGCUCUGGUGAAUUAGUGGCGAACGGGUGAGUAACACGUGAGUAACCUGCCCUUGACUCUGGGAUAACUGCGGGAAACUGUAGCUAAUACCGGAUACGACCCUCGGAGGCAUCUCCUGGGGGUGGAAAGAAUUUCGGUCAAGGAUGGACUCGCGGCCUAUCAGCUAGUUGGUGAGGUAAAGGCUCACCAAGGCGACGACGGGUAGCCGGCCUGAGAGGGUGACCGGCCACACUGGGACUGAGACACGGCCCAGACUCCUACGGGAGGCAGCAGUGGGGAAUAUUGCACAAUGGGCGCAAGCCUGAUGCAGCAACGCCGCGUGAGGGAUGACGGCCUUCGGGUUGUAAACCUCUUUUAGUAGGGAAGAAGCGAAGGUGACGGUACCUGCAGAAAAAGCCCCGGCUAACUUCGUGCCAGCAGCCGCCGUAA